GGGAGCUUGACUGCGACACCGACGGGUGGAGCAGGUACGAAAGUAGGACUUAGUGAUCCGGUGGCAUAAAGUGGGAUUGCCAUCGCUCAACGGAUAAAAGCUACCCUGGGGAUAACAGGCUUAUCACUCCCAAGAGUUCACAUCGACGGAGUGGUUUGGCACCUCGAUGUCGGCUCAUCGCAUCCUGGGGCUGUAGCAGGUCCCAAGGGUUGGGCUGUUCGCCCAUUAAAGCGGUACGCGAGCUGGGUUCAGAACGUCGUGAGACAGUUCGGUCCCUAUCCGGCGUGGGCGUAAGAUAUUUGAGAGGAGCCGUCCUUAGUACGAGAGGACCGGGACGGACUGACCGCUGGUGUACCUGUUGGAGAGUAACUCCAUGGCAGGGUAGCUAUGUCGGGACGGGAUAAACGCUGAAGGCAUCUAAGCGUGAAGCCCCCCUCAAGAUGGGAUAUCUCAUGUGAAAACAGUAAGACCCCUUGAAGACUACGAGGUAGAUAGGGCCAAGAUGUAAGUACAGUAAUGUAUUAAGUUGAUGGUUACUAAUAGGUCGAGGGUUUAACCAA
rfam:Lachnoanaerobaculum sp. ICM7 ctg120007550927, whole genome shotgun sequence.